rnacentral:sRNA from 2 species
UUUAAUAAGAAGCUUAGUCUACAUUAGAGCGGGGGAACCACAAAUUUGGUAUAUCAUAUGCCUUGGGGUGAAUCUUUCCUGAGUGAAAGUAGGGUACUCUCAAACCCGAAUCCGACAGUUAACCUCGUCUGCUUAUUGAGAGAAAGA